rnacentral:rRNA from 1 species
ACUACGGGAGUCAGCAGUGAGGAAUAUUGGUCAAUGGGCGCUAGCCUGAACCAGCCAAGUAGCGUGAAGGAUGACUGCCCUAUGGGUUGUAAACUUCUUUUAUAUGGGAAUAAAGUGCAGUAUGUAUACUUCUUUGCAUGUACCUUAUGAAUAAGGAUCGGCUAACUCCGUGCCAGCAGCCGCGUUAAUACGGAGGAUCCGAGCGUUAUCCGGAUUUAUUGGGUUUAAAGGGAGCGUAGGAGGGUUGUUAAUUCAGUUGUGAAAGUUUGCGGCUCAACCGUAAAAUUGCAGCUGAUACUGGCAUCCUUGAGUACAGUAGAGGUAGGCGGAAUUCGUGGUGUAGCGGUGAAAUGCUUAGAUAUCACGAAGAACUCCGAUUGAGAAGGCAGCCUGCUGGACUGUAACUGACGCUGAUGCUCGAAAGUGUGGGUAUCAAACAGGAUUAGAUACCCUGGUAGUC